CAUGUCUUUUUGAUUAUAAUUUAAGGUCUGAUCUGCACAAUGAUAAUUAAAUUGCCGCAGUAUUUUGACUGUGCAAAGGUAGCAUAAUAAUUAGUUUCUUGAUUAGGAACUGGUAUGAAUGAUUGGACGAGAGAAUUUCUGUCUCUUAUUGAAGAAUUUUUAAAUUUUAUUUUUAAGUAAAAAAGCUUAAAUAUUUAUAAAAGACGAGAAGACCCUAUAGAGUUUUAUAUUUUAUUAUUGAUUAGAUGUUAGGAAUAUUUUUUGAUAAAAAGUAUUUAGUUGGGGUGAUUUAAAGAUUUAUAAAAUUCUUUAAAAUUUAAAUUGAUGAUUAUUAAAUUUUUUAUCUAAAUUUUUUAAAUUUAAAAUUAAUUACCUUAGGGAUAACAGCGUAAUUUUUCUUUAAAGCUCAUAUUGAAAGGAAAUUUUGCGACCUCGAUGUUGGAUUAAAAUAAAUUUUUGGUGCAGUAACUUAAAAAUUAGGUCUGUUCGACCUUUAAUAUUUUACAUGAUUUGAGUUUAAACCGGUGUAAGCCAGGUUGGAUUCUAUCUUUAGUUUUAUUAUAUAUUUUAGUACGAAAGGACCAAAUAUAUAUUAUAUAUUAAUUG
rnacentral:rRNA from 1 species